GGAAUGUUUGGGAAAUCCUGGGUUACCUAGAUUUCCUUCCUAAGAGAGUGCUUUGUAGAACAUGAACACAUGCUGUGGGUCUCUGAGAGGGGGCUACAGAAUACACCCCUUCCCUCCAUUUUGUGACCACAGAAUCUUUUUUUCCUCCUCUAAGUAUCCCAAGAGACUGUAGAUUCGUGCAGUUGAGAAACACUGAGCUAAAGUAUUCAUCAGAGAAAAGCACUACGUGUGGAAUCAUUUUCACCUUCGAGCCAGGCUUCUGGCUUCAGACACUGGAUCCUCUCAGCCUUUUGUCAUGUGGGUGGGUGGCCCCAUUCCCCAUUUGAAGGUAGAACUGGAUGGAAUAGAGAAUGACCAACAGUCCACUCCAGAAGCUCAACACGAGGCACUGGGCCUUUGGGAAGAUAUUUAUUGAGCACCUAUUGGGUGCCAUCAGUUUGCUCAGGAGCUUUGUAGAAGGAGCCCUGUAAGAGAUGCGUAUUCCAGGCGCACAGUCAGAAGCCAGCCAGACAAGCCCAGGAAGGAGUACUACAUUGAUUCAUGACCAGACCUGCCGAUUUCCCACUCAUCCUAAUCAUUCUUCUAAGGAGGGGCUCUAGGUUAUUUAUGUCUCAGUCAAAAUUCCCAGUUGCCAGCAAGAAACAGACUUGGGCCAUCUUCAGCAUAAAGGAAUUUAUUAGAAGGACAGCAGAGUUCUCAGAAUGGAGAGGUGGUUUGAAAACCAAGCUUAGGAAACGGGUGAGAACCAAGGGCUUUCUGUGGCACCAGGCAGCUGGGGCAGCGUGGUCACUGUGACCACACACCUUCAAGUGCUCCUCGUGUCCUUGCUUCACAGCCUUAAGAUUCAAACUCCUGGGAAACAGAAUCUGUUUGGCUUUGCCAAAGGCAAUAUUAGCUCCAGGCUUCAGUGGUGGGAAGAAGCAUGACCUGACCCUUUUAGUCUUAAAAAAAAAAAAAAGGCAAAUGUUUAUACACAUUUAUUAAUUCUCUAAAUGGCUUUUUUUUUUUUUGCCAUGCCCAUGGCAUACAGAAGUUCCCACACCGGGGAUGGAACCUGCACCACAGCAGCUACCCAAGGCCCAGCAGGAUCCUUAACCCACUGAGCCACCAGGGAACUCCUAAAUGGCACUUGUUAAUUUGUUACCAUGCCAUUCAAGUGGAAGCUCACCAUUGUUCAAUGGGGAGUCGAUUAUUGCACCAUCCUUAGGCUCAAACCAAGGCUUGUAUUUUCCAUAAAUGAACUCUCCAAAAUAGCAAAUACUCUCAAGAAGUGCUUCAAUUGGAUAUUCUGUUUUUUUGUUUGUUUGUUUGUUUGUUUUUUGGCUUUUUAGGGCCGCACUUGCAGCACACGGAAGUUCCCAGGCCAGGGGUCGAAUCAGAGCUGCAGCCACAGGCCUAUACCACAGCCACAGCAACUCGGGAUCCAAGCUGUGCCUGGGACCUAUACCACAGCUCAUUGCAAUGCUCCACUGAGCAAGGCCAGGGAUCAAAGCUGAAUCCUCACGGAUACCAGCCAGAUUUGUUUCCACUGAGUCAUGACAGGAACUCUGGAUAUUUUGUUAAUUUACCAAUAAUCAUCUUCUAAUGCCUUCUGUUAGGGAAAAGUAGGUGACUGUAACACGAGCAGAAAAAUACUGCUUGCCAUCCUCUGAAUUUUUAAUGUAUUUGAUUUAUAAAUUAAUCCUUCAUUUCAUUAAUUAAAGCAGUGAGG
ensembl:lncRNA